rnacentral:lncRNA from 1 species
CUUUUUUAUUUUUAGUAGAGACGGGGUUUCACCACGUUGACCAGGCUAGUCUCAAACUCCUGACCUCAGGUGAUCCACCUGCUU